CUUUCUCUCAGAUCUGGUCCCUCCUGCCCUUCUAUAAAACUUGGGCGCCAUGCCCUCUGACCCUCGCGUGCUCGCCGAGAUGGUUGGUAGCCGCCACCAUGGUCGAGCGCAGUGAUGAGAGAGAGAGAGAGUCGUGGGUCACCGCUUCGCAGCGGAAGCGUGGUGGUGAGGAUGGCCCUGUGACCAGGGUGCCCAUGGUGCGUGCCUUCAGGCAGACGCGGAUGGGCGAGGGCACCACCCAGAGCUUCUGGGCGCGCUCACCGGUGCUGGUUGCAUACGCCGCACCGUGGCCAUGAGUGAGGAUGAGUGCCGCCGGGUGGAAUCUGGAACGCCGCCACCGCUGACUCGAAAUUCUGCACCGGUGGGUCGGCGUCAUCGAUGGGAUGCCAUGGAUCGCGCAGCCGCUGCGUCACGUUGACCGGAUCAUCUUCGCCCUGACCUGUGGUGAGAACUCUUCCCAGUAGCUCGAUUUUGUCUAUGCGUCGUGUUGGAACGAUAGUAACGAAGGUCGGGGUGGAAUUGCGCGGUUCUAGUGCGCCGAUGAUGGCGCCACUGCACCGGGCAGCCUGGUCACCCGGUUUGAACCGCCGCCGCUCUGCGUAGUAGCCUCCGCGAUAGAAAGAAGGCCACUGUGUAGUCUGUCGUAGGAAAGAAGAGAGACGGGUGUCGACCAUUUAAAAUUGAACGGACGAGAUUAGAUCGGGGUGGUGACGUAGGAUCGUGAUCGGACGUAUGGGAUCCCAUCUCAGAAUUUUAAAUCUUGAUCGUUGAAGUUAGAUUGGAUGGCCGGGAUCACGUACCAAUUCGCCGGAUUUCCGGUCUAAUCCGUACCGCCUAUUUCUAAUCCAGCGUCCGAAAUCAAAACAUACCCUUUUGGCCAACCCUUUUUGCAAGAGUCCCUGGAGAAGUCCUAAACCAACUCGCAGUCAUUGCGCCAGCAAUCUGAGCCUUAGGAAAACUUCUGUGUUAGCCCCUGCGUUUCGGUGUAAUUGAGGCGCAGUCCAGUAAAUAGAAAAUCGAAGAAAAAGAAAUAGAAAUCUAUUUUUAAUAUAAAAAUAAUGGCUAGAGUUUGUUUAAUUCAUAUAAAAUUCAUAUGGAGUCCAAAUUAGUCCAUUCCAGUUCCUAUAAUUUUGUAAUAAUGUUGUUUAUUACAUAGUGUCUCUGUUUUGACAUGAAAACCAUAUUAAAAGGUAUCUAUUAAUUAAUCUUGUAUAAAAUACAUAAAACCUUCAAAAAAUCAUAAUUCCUUCGUUUUAAUUCUGAAUUGACUCGUUCCAGUUGCAUUAGUUUCGUAUAAGUAUUUACUACGCAGUAACAACAUUAAUUAUACCAUAUUGCAUAAUUUUAUAGUUAGAAAUUUAUUCAUCCUAUGUCUACUAGAUUAGCUCUACUAAAUCAAAACUAACCCGACCAUAAUCAUAAUGUGGUUAAAACAUGAUCUCUAGUCAAGUAUAAUCUAGAUUAAGGUUGAAUUGAUUAUUUAGAGUAUAUUUUCUCAUACGAUGUACAAUAAUCAAUUUAUAAUUUAAUAUUCCAACCACGUAGAUCUUCCAUAGAUCAUAACUCCUUAACCAUGACUCCAAUCUUAGUAGUUCUUGAUCUUACGAUCUCAUAGCAACGCGUAGAUUAUUAUUAUGCAGUAUGUUCUUAUGUUUGGUGUGAUGUUAAUUUUGUCCAUACCAUGUUUGUUUGUAUUACGACUAGCAGUGAGGUCACGAGAAUCUGUGGAUCAUCCUGGUACCUUGAAUCUCAUGUCCCAAUCAAGUUGUGCCCUUGACCACUUUUUACUCAAUAAUGUUCUUUAAUAUCACUUAUUCAUGCAUAGGUUUAAUUGUGAUGGGACCCAAUAGGUCACCCUAGUCUGUUUAUCCUGUUUACCUUGUUAUCCCUGAAUCAUUUGGGUAGUUAUGCUAUUGCUUUACAUGGUUUUGGGUUAAUAUUUCAUUAUAUCCAUGUUCUAAUUAUUUUGUUAUUUUAUUUAUGUUCAUGUCAAGAUCAUCAUUAUCUUUAAUUGGAACAUGGAGCUUAACUUGAGAAACACGUGGCACCACAAGGGUGGAAUGGGAGGCCCUUGGCUGACUAAUUAGAAAAGCUAGUGGAAGACUACCUUACCCGAAAGGGGCAAGGGCAGUAGGGGAGUUGCAUGCAGGGAAGUUCUCGGGUUGAUUUUGCUGCGAUGGCGGUCAGACGAGUGAUUCUUGCAAGUUCUCUUCCCAUAAACUGUAGCGGGUUUUCGGAAGCUAGUGGAACUUUGUAAAGGCCUCGUAGUGGAUCCCUAGCCAUUCACCUCGGUAGUGUCUAAGGAUCUAGCUAACCUUGGUGACAUGGGAUACACGACUUGUGGGUACAGGGUACAACCUCUGCAGAGUGUAAAACUGGUAUACUAGCCGAGCUCACGGUCAAGAGUAGCUCAGGACUCUUGUAUGAUUAAAUAUGGAACUUAAAUUCAAUUUGUCAUAUGCAUUGCAUGGGAUUAUUUAUUAAUUUUGUUCUAUUAUUUUUAUUAUGGUUUGGUAUUCACUUACAUUUAGUAACUGGUAAUAAAAUUUGACCAACUUAUUAAAAGCAAUGCUCAGCUUUAACCCCUAUUGUUGAUCAACCUUACACAUCACAUGAGCUCCCACCUUUGGUGGGUUCGUGCACAUUAUUCCCCACAACUUGUUGAGCGAUUUACAUGUGUGAGCUCACCAUUGCUGUCUCAUACCCCCCCCACAGGAGAAGAACAGGUGGUUCAAGAGGAGCCACACAACGAGGAGUUCGAUUUGAUCUAGGUGGUGUCUCCGAGUUGACUUUGUGGCGCCAAGGAUGGACUUUAGUUCGAUUUAUAUUUAUAAUUUAUUUUGUAAGACUUUCGCUAUGUAAUAAGUACUCUGAUGUUAUUGUGACAUUUAU
rnacentral:lncRNA from 1 species